rnacentral:rRNA from 1 species
GACGAAGGAUGCAAGCGUUAUCCGGAUUCAUUGGGUUUGAAGGGAGCGUAGGGGGCCCGGUAAGUCAGUGGUGAAAUCUCGCAGCUUAACUGCGAAACUGCCAUUGAUACUGCUGGGCUUGAGUACAGAUGCCGUUGGCGGAAUAUGACAUGUAGUGGUGAAAUACAUAGAGAUGUCAUAGAACACCGAUUGCGAAGGCAGCUAACGAAACUGUAACUGACACUGAGGCUCGAAAGUGCGGGGAUCAAACAGG